rnacentral:rRNA from 1 species
AUUGAACGCUGGCGGCAGGACUAACACAUGCAAGUCGAACGAGUGGCGGACGGGUGAGUACUGUCUGGGAAACUGCCUGAUGGAGGGGGAUAACUACUGGAAACGGUAGCUAAUACCGCCUACCAUCGGAUGUGCCCAGAUGGGAUUCGCUAGUAGGUGGGGUACAGGCCUACCUAGGCGACGAUCCCUAGUUGGUCUGAGAGGAUGACCAGCCACACUGGAACGGAAACACGGUCCAGACGCCAACGAGAUGCAGCAGUGGGAAAUAUUGCACAGUGGGCGCAAGCCUGAUGCAGCCAUGCCGCGUGUAUGAAGAAAGCCUUCGGGUUUUAAAGUACUUUCAGCGGGGAGGCGUUACCCGCAGAAGAAGCACCGGCUAACUCCGUACCAGCAGCCGCGGUAAUAC